rnacentral:rRNA from 1 species
UAGAAGCUUGCUUCUAUGACGUUAGCGGCGGACGGGUGAGUAACACGUGGGCAACCUGCCUGUAAGACUGGGAUAACUUCGGGAAACCGAAGCUAAUACCGGAUAGGAUCUUCUCCUUCAUGGGAGAUGAUUGAAAGAUGGUUUCGGCUAUCACUUACAGAUGGGCCCGCGGUGCAUUAGCUAGUUGGUGAGGUAACGGCUCACCAAGGCAACGAUGCAUAGCCGACCUGAGAGGGUGAUCGGCCACACUGGGACUGAGACACGGCCCAGACUCCUACGGGAGGCAGCAGUAGGGAAUCUUCCGCAAUGGACGAAAGUCUGACGGAGCAACGCCGCGUGAGUGAUGAAGGCUUUCGGGUCGUAAAACUCUGUUGUUAGGGAAGAACAAGUACGAGAGUAACUGCUCGUACCUUGACGGUACCUAACCAGAAAGCCACGGCUAACUACGUGCCAGCAGCCGCGGUAAUACGUAGGUGGCAAGCGUUAUCCGGAAUUAUUGGGCGUAAAAGCGCGCGCAGGCGCUUUCUUAAGUCUGAUGUGAAAGCCCACGGCUCAACCGUGGAGGGUCAUUGGAAACUGGGGAACUUGAGUGCGAAGAGAAAAGCGAAAUUCCACGAGUAUGGGUAAGAUACGU